rnacentral:misc_RNA from 1 species
AACGCAUCUUGCGCUCCUUGGUAUUCCAAAGAGCAUGCCUGUUUGAGUGUCAUGAAAAUCUCAACUUAUUACCUUUGUUAAGGUCUUCAAGCUUGGAUAUGGAGUAUGCGAUAUUGCAUUAUUGACUAUAUAGCUACUCUUGAAUGCAUUAAGCAAAUCUUUGUAGACCAUUGAAAUAAGUGCAUUUGGCUUGAUAAUACUCUGUCAAUUAACUUGUUCUUAUCUACGAAAGCCUUGUCUUCUAAUUUGUUGAACCACAUUUCGACCUCAAAUCAGGUAGGAUUACCCGCUGAACUUAA